ACUCAAAUGAAUUGACGGGGGCCCGCACAAGCGGCGGAGCAUGUGGCUUAAUUCGAUGCAACGCGAAGAACCUUACCUGGGCUUGACAUGCUGGUUAAACCCUGUGAAAGCAGGGCUCCGUAAGGGGCCAGCACAGGUGCUGCAUGGCUGUCGUCAGCUCGUGCCGUGAGGUGUUGGCUUAAGUGCCGCAACGAGCGCAACCCCUGCCUUUAGUUGCCAGCGGGUAAUGCCGGGGACUCUAAAGGGACUGCCGGGGACAACUCGGAGGAAGGUGGGGAUGACGUCAAGUCCGCAUGGCCCUUAUGUCCAGGGCUGCACACAUGCUACAUUGCGCGCCACAGAGGGCUGCGAUCCCGCGAGGGGGAGCGAAUCCCAAAAAAGCGCGCGUGGUUCGGAUUGGAGUCUGCAACUCGACUCCAUGAAGUCGGAGUCGCUAGUAAUCGCAGAUCAGCAACGCUGCGGUGAAUACGUUCCCGGGCCUUGUACACACCGCCCGU
rnacentral:rRNA from 1 species